ACAGCAAUCAUCCCCACCAUCCAAAUCCUCCUGGGCAAUGUGGAUGGAGGAGGAGUCAUGUUCUUCCAAGCAAGCAACACAGCCAUGAGUGAAACAAUCCUGCAAGAACCACUUGGUGGAGAUAACAAGAAGCUAAAAGCGACUGCAGACGAACUCAUUUACACACGCACCGUGUUUCCCGAGGAAGCUGCUGCAUGGUUUAAAGCCCAGAUGAUGGCACCAGCUCUUGCACAGUCUGUGUAUGCCUGAACGUGAGCUCUGGCAGGCCCGUGGCGUUCCCCGCGAGCAGCUCUAACAACACUGGGGAAAAGCAUCAGCUAAAAAGCAAGAGGUUCAUUUUUCUACAGAAAUUUCCUAGCACAUUCCAGAGGACUGGUUUCAUUCCACUGUCCUGCGAGAUCCCAGGGACUAAGUUACACCAACUGCUGGGCAGGGCUCUGGGGCACGGCAGGAGCGCUGCGGGAAUGCUGCCGCUGUCACUCUAUCCCCGGGCAGAGACAUGGCAACGGGAGGCUGCAGGCGCCAGGCCGCGGAGAAGGCUGCUUCUCGGAGCAGUCCAGCCCAGGAAAGUGCUGUUACUCCGCUUGAACAACUGCCAGUGAGACACCGGGGAACCCCGCAGCUCCACCUAGAAGCUAGAAGGUCCACCAGCUGUCAGCUCUGAAACGAACUAUUGCCUCAGUGGAAAAAGCAGCCAUUCUGCCUUGGAAAAAGUGACAAAAUUCAGACUGAUGCGUACGGGAGGGUAAGUUACCUUUUGCCCUUGGAGUAGAUCAGGGACCCAACUGAAACCAACAGCCCCGCACCGACACGAAGCUGGCAGGAGGAGAAGGAAGACCACAUGGGUUCAGGUACAGCCCUUGCGACCCACUGGUGAGUAGGUGGGUCUGAUUCGCCUCUCAGCUGGCUUCUCUGGAGUCAUUUGCAUCGGUGCAAGGGGGGACAAUCCAGUGGCUUGUCCUCACUCUGCAGAUCGGCAAUGACCACCUUGCUUCUGUACAACCGUGGCAGACUGGGAGGCACCCGGAGAGGCCCCGAGUCCGUCUGCAGGUUGUUUUGUACACCCCUGCAAAAAGUAUUUUGAAACCAACCGUGGUUUACUGCUUGGGCCCUCUUGCACCCUGCCUCACCCGAUGGCCCCGGCGGGGGCUCUGGGCAUCCUGCGGGCGAGCUGCAGCGGGUCUCGCGCGGCCGAGGGAGGCUGCUCUCCCGGAGCAGGAGGCGGUUGCGUUCCUCGCCCCACCGCCACACACAGCUCACGGUCGGGGCAGCCAGGUGAAGAGAGCGACUGCUGGCUCGAAAUUAGCCUGUCUACUGUUUGCAAGGUAGAAUCAUUUUUACUUUACUGUCAGCAAACCAACAGCUCCAUCACUACCUCACUGCAGCAAUUUAAAAUACGAUGGUCCCAGAGUCCUGUACGAACUGGGAUGUCGAUAACAUUUUAGCAAUGGCUGAAAUAUUUUGCUUUAAAUAGUGCUGUUGGGGUGAUUUUUUACAGCAUUCUGAAACUCGACGGAGGAACAGAAUUUGUUUUUUCUUUGUUACAGAUACUUUAAACAUUAGUUAAUCACCCUUUCAACAUGCUUAUGGGGGAAGCCUGUCCCUGUUCAACCAAGGGAGUAAAGGAAACAGAAAGGCUGCUGCUCUGAUCUUCGAAGGAGACAAGCAGCCAGAGCUCUCAUUGCUGUCAGAGGAAUCAGGAGUGUUUGAUGUCUUCCAACACAGGGCUUGAUGAAGCUGGGGCGUGGGUGGGGAAAGGGUAAAGGCAAUCCUCAUGUAGCCCAGAGUGAGACCUACCUCAGGGACUGCUAGUUGAAAAACAGGCCCUUUUUACACUUCUACACCAGUUAAAUGUUUAAAAUUUGAAAAGAAACUAGAGCCAGAUUCUCAAGUGCUCAGAACACAGGAUGAAUGAUGCUGAGAAAACAUGCUGAACAGAGCCAGGGCUAAAAUGUAGGGUCUCCUGGAGCACGUUCUUCUGCUUCUGGGCUGAGUUAGGGAAAAGAGCUCAUUGUUUCUGGAACAAAACCUGGCCAACGCAUGGUGAUGGAUUUUGUUCUUGAGGGCUGGACUUAGAAGGCCCACGCUUAGAGGGCCUCCAUGCGCAUGGGCAGAGCGCAUGUUGCUGCGUGCUUAUCCUCUGCAGCUGGGACCACGGGCCAGUUAAAAAGUUCUGGCCUGGCAGUAGCAUCCUGUAGGUGCAAGAAGGCUCUGCGAAUUUUGUGACUCUUAUUGCUUGGACGCAUGUGGUUAUUAAGCUAUUGAACUGAUAAGCUACUCCUCACACCUCUGAAGUGGAGAAGGCCACAAAUGUUUCUGAAGCUGUAUGUCUGAAGGGAGGGGUCUGAAAAUGCAUCUGAACAUUUCCAGGGAAGUUUAAGCUCUCCUUGCUGAGCAGUCCCAGCCCAGGGAUACUGGAAAACACAUUUUUCUUGCAUGUGUUUCGUAUUAAAUGCAGCCAUCAGAAAAAGAAGACAGUUCAUACUGCAGAAAGGUGCAGUGAAGAGAAGACAAAUGGCCGCGGUAAAGCAUUAACGAGAAUGUGUCUGCUCUGCCUAGGCAGUAAUCACCACUUCUGUGGACCCUUCAGGGCAACCUCUGAACGAGCUGGCUGGGGGACUGGAGCUGCGUAGCUGUGGGAUUGCAGGGGAGGCUGUACCGACCCAGCUGGCUCCCUGGGGCAGCCGGUACUUGCUGCGCAAGCCGCUCCUCCCCGGCCCUGGACGGCCUGGAGAGACGCUGCCUCUGCGCGAGCUGCUGCUGCACCUUCCCCUUGCUGCACGGCACAUCUGGAGAGCGACAGUCUUUAGCCAAGCCCCGCUAUUCCUGCCAUGCUGCAGAUAAUGUUUUCCAAGUGUGCUGGCAGUGAGCUUAAAUCAUCUACCACAACCUGAUAACACUUAACCUCUGCGCAUUUUGCUGCAGUAAAAUUAUGGAAGUGAAAACAGCAAAGGCAAAGGGAGCAUUUAUUCCUUAGAUGAUAAUUUUCCUCUUACUCAACAGAUAAAGGUUUGGAUUCUGUUCUCUGAUCUAAAUGUGCACUGUGAAGGCGUUCAGCUAGAUUUACAGCAGUGUGACAGCAGAAUUUGGCUUAUGAUCUUCCAGCGACAACAUCAAUUAACAGACUUGCUUAUUUCACUGCAAUAUAUUCUAUGAAUUUUCUAUACGGCUCCUAUUCAGCAAGCAUAAUAGUCUAACUAGGAUGCAGUUGUGUGGCAACAGUGUACCACAUAAAUUAAGCUAACUCUGGGUAAUAUCACAAAAAAAAAAGUGUUUAUAGCUCCAUGCCAGUUUCUGACUAAUGCUUUUGUUUGUUGCUAUAGCAAACCACACAUGAAUCUGAUAGCCAAAAGCAUGUUUAUGACUAACCUUAGCUCUCUGGGGAUUGAAAAUAUGGAAUAAAAAAAAAAAAAACAAUACAAUGAGAACAUGAUAGGAAACACCUUUUUUGGCACAGGUUGCUACGAACAUUAAAAGUGAAGAACAUCGAGAGUGGAAAACAUUAGGAAAUGGGAAUGGUGGGAAUAACCAGCUUUAACCCACAGUGAUUCAAACGCGCAGCUCUGAUUUCACAUAGCAAAGUUGUCUGUGCAGGACUAGAGUGCGUUGCAGGAAGUCCUGGCUGGGUGCUAAGGGAUGGAUUUAAGCCUUUGAAGUCUGGAGAAGCUUUGGAUCAGACUUUAAAACAUCCAGACCACUUUACUCAAGAUCAUUUUUACACUCUGCCUUGACACCUAUGACACUGGUAUCCACUUAAUUAAUUUCUAUUACAAUUUAUACUUGGGUCGUUU